rnacentral:rRNA from 1 species
AUUGAACGCUGGCGGCAGGCCUAACACAUGCAAGUCGAACGAGGGGCAGACGGGUGAGUAGUGUUUGGGAAUGUAGGUUAUGGAGGGGGAUAACCAGGGGAAAGUAUAGCUAAUAGCGCGAACCAUAAGAUGAGCCCAAGUGGGUUUAGGUAGUGGGGGGGGUAAAGGCUCACAAAGGCGACGAUCUCUAGCUGGUCUGAGAGGAUGACCAGCCACACGGUGACUGAGACACGGCCCAGACUCCUACGGUAGGCAGCAGUGGGGAAUAGUGCGCAAUGGGGGCAAGCUGAUGCAGCCAUGCCGCGUGAAUGAAGAAGGCCUUCGGGUUGUAAAGUUCUUUCGGUAGGGAGGCGUUACCUGCAGAAGAAGCACCGGCUAACUCCGUGCCAGCAGCCGCGGUAAUUC